rnacentral:rRNA from 1 species
UGGGGAAUUUUGGACAAUGGGCGAAAGCCUGAUCCAGCAAUGCCGCGUGUGUGAAGAAGGCCUUCGGGUUGUAAAGCACUUUUGUCCGGAAAGAAAUCCUUGGCUCUAAUACAGUCGGGGGAUGACGGUACCGGAAGAAUAAGCACCGGCUAACUACGUGCCAGCAGCCGCGGUAAUACGUAGGGUGCAAGCGUUAAUCGGAAUUACUGGGCGUAAAGCGUGCGCAGGCGGUUUGCUAAGACCGAUGUGAAAUCCCCGGGCUCAACCUGGGAACUGCAUUGGUGACUGGCAGGCUAGAGUAUGGCAGAGGGGGGUAGAAUUCCACGUGUAGCAGUGAAAUGCGUAGAGAUGUGGAGGAAUACCGAUGGCGAAGGCAGCCCCCUGGGCCAAUACUGACGCUCAUGCACGAAAGCGUGGGGGAGCAAAACAGGAUUAGAUACCCUGGUAGUCCACGCCCUAAACGAUGUCAACUAAUUGUUGGGGAUUCAUUUCCUUAGUAACGUAGCUAACGCGUGAAGUUGACCGCCUGGGGAGUACGGUCGCAAGAUUAAAACUCAAAGGAAUUGACGGGGUCAUAGCUGUUUCCU